CCUUCGGGGUGGAUUAGUGGCGAACGGGUGAGUAACACGUGGGCAAUCUGCCCUUCACUCUGGGACAAGCCCUGGAAACGGGGUCUAAUACCGGAUACCACUCCUGUCUGCAUGGGCAGGGGUUGAAAGCUCCGGCGGUGAAGGAUGAGCCCGCGGCCUAUCAGCUUGUUGGUGGGGUAAUGGCCCACCAAGGCGACGACGGGUAGCCGGCCUGAGAGGGCGACCGGCCACACUGGGACUGAGACACGGCCCAGACUCCUACGGGAGGCAGCAGUGGGGAAUAUUGCACAAUGGGCGAAAGCCUGAUGCAGCGACGCCGCGUGAGGGAUGACGGCCUUCGGGUUGUAAACCUCUUUCAGCAGGGAAGAAGCGAAAGUGACGGUACCUGCAGAAGAAGCGCCGGCUAACUACGUGCCAGCAGCCGCGGUAAUACGUAGGGCGCAAGCGUUGUCCGGAAUUAUUGGGCGUAAAGAGCUCGUAGGCGGCUUGUCACGUCGGAUGUGAAAGCCCGAGGCUUAACCUCGGGUCUGCAUUCGAUACGGGCUAGCUAGAGUGUGGUAGGGGAGAUCGGAAUUCCUGGUGUAGCGGUGAAAUGCGCANAUAUCAGGAGGAACACCGGUGGCGAAGGCGGAUCUCUGGGCC
rnacentral:rRNA from 1 species